GAUGAACGCUGGCGGCGUGCCUAAUACAUGCAAGUCGAGCGAACAGACGAGGAGCUUGCUCCUCUGACGUUAGCGGCGGACGGGUGAGUAACACGUGGAUAACCUACCUAUAAGACUGGGAUAACUUCGGGAAACCGGAGCUAAUACCGGAUAAUAUAUUGAACCGCAUGGUUCAAUAGUGAAAGACGGUUUUGCUGUCACUUAUAGAUGGAUCCGCGCCGCAUUAGCUAGUUGGUAAGGUAACGGCUUACCAAGGCGACGAUGCGUAGCCGACCUGAGAGGGUGAUCGGCCACACUGGAACUGAGACACGGUCCAGACGCCUACGGGAGGCAGCAGUAGGGAAUCUUCCGCAAUGGGCGAAAGCUUGACGGAGCAACGCCGCGUGAGUGAUGAAGGUCUUCGGAUCGUAAAACUCUGUUAUUAGGGAAGAACAAAUGUGUAAGUAACUAUGCACGUCUUGACGGUACCUAAUCAGAAAGCCACGGCUAACUACGUGC
rnacentral:rRNA from 1 species